rnacentral:rRNA from 1 species
UACGUAGGGAGCUGAGCGUUGUCCGGAAUCAUUGGGCGUAAAGCGCGCGUAGGCGGCCCGGUAAGUCCGCUGAUGAAAGUCAAAGGCUCAACCUUUGAAUGUCAGCGGAUAACUGCCGGGCUAGAGUCCGGAAGAGGCGAGUGGAACUCCUGGUGUAGCGGUGGAAUGCGCAGAUAUCAGGAAGAACACCAACGGCGAAGGCAGCUCGCUGGGACGGAACUGACGCUAAGGCGCGAAAGCGUGGGGAGCGAACGAGG